GAGGUUCCCAGGCUAGGGGUUGAAUCGGAACUGCAGCUGCCGGCCACAGCCACAGCCACAGCCACAGCCAAGCCAGAUCUGAGCUGCAUCUGUGACCUACACCACAGCUCAUGGCAACCUGGAUCCUUAACCCACUGAGCGAGGCCAGGGAUUGAACCCAAGUCCUCAUGGAUACUAGUCAGGUUCAUCAACCGCUGAGCCACGACGGGAACCCCUUCUUAGUCUCUUUCUAAACGUACCAUCUUUUUUCAUGGUCCUAGACUCACAAGUCCCAGAAGUAUAUAGAGAUGAAAUCAAUACUCAGGCCAGGAUUAUACUCAGCAGAGGAGACCUACUCAAAAAUGUUUCUGAAGUUAAUGCUGUUGGAAAAGGUGGCAAAGUGGGUUUGUGCCUCCAACAAGCACAGUGAGGACCAGUGAGGCUUCGGGCCUAAAGAACAGAUCCAACAAAUGAAAUGCAAACUAAAGACCAACGCAAAAUUAGGAUAUGAGCAAAAUUCUGGGAUACAUUUGAUGGCUUCUCUCUUUUCCUCUCAUUGUUUUCAUUUCUUACCAUCAAUGUAAAAAGGCAGUUCUCAAGCUGCACCUUUUCACUCAUGCCCCUUCCUUUAAAACAACAGGCUUUUACAUAAAUAUUAGGGUCAUUCAACUCUAUACCUUAGAACCUUAUAACCUGGGGUUAAACGGCAACCUUUUGCAAAGAAGUAGCCUUAAAAAUAAACAUAAAAAUACAGACUUUAGGGUUUGGAUUUUACCUAGUUCUUUCUAAAACAGAUUGGAUAGGGCUCAUCAAAAACAUAUAAAGAGUUCCCUUGCAGCGUAGUAGGUUAAAGAUCCAGCAUUGUCACCGCUGCGGCUCAGGUUGCUGCAGUGGUGAGGGUUUGAUCCCUGGCCCAGGAAUUUCCACAUGCCACAGGCAUGACCCCCAAAACCCACAAGACAUACACAGAGAUAUUUUCUAUAAAGAAUGUUUUACAAUAAUAUCUAAGCCCACUGAUUAAGAUAAAACAGUGAGUUUUCAUGUUUAACUCUUCCACAUACAUAUUAUAGGGGACAAUAUAUACUUUUUAAAAGUCUAGAAUGUUCUUUCCUAAAUAACAGCUAAAAAUAUUUUUAAAGUGCAAAACAAAGAAUGGGCUGAUUUCAAGUUGCUACCUACUUUCAUUUUAAAGCUACAUCUUGUCUGAGGAUUGAGUUUUAAUUUCAGAGUCCUGAGGAGGUGUCAUAAAGCAACAGAAUAAACUCCUUCCAGAGCAGUUUUACAAUCGCCCUCAAUCUGACAGGCCAGGCAGAGAAGAAAACCUUAGAAAUUGUGGCCUGAGGGAGAGGGGAAAUACAGCAUGAGUUUUGAAAGAUGGAGACCAAGAAACAUUUUUAUGAGGACCACGUCCGCAGGUAACUGGUGUUGAAUGAAGCAAGUUUGCGAAAAAACCAGGAGCUCUCUGACAUAGGGGAGCUGAUGUCUGUGCAGGAACGUGCUCUACCUGGACACUUGUCAAAAGGAAGAGAAUGGCAGAAUCUUCUUUGUUUAAAAAUUAAUGGUUUAUAAUUUUAAAAUCUAUGGGACAGGUAUACAUGAGGCUAUUUUUUAUAAAUUUCUUUAAAAGUUUUCUGUUUGCUAAAAAUUUUUCCAAAUAAAAUCUUAGGAAAAAAUGAAUACUUUAGACUUUUCUAAAAGCCCCAUCUCGCAACAAAGCAGCAAAACUCAUAAACAAACCAAAGAAACUUAAGAACUCAGCCACUCUGUGGAAAGAAUUCCAGUCUUUUUCCUACUAUGAACUAUUUUCUUUCCAUUUUAUGUUAAUAUUUAUUUGUGCUCUAAAGAGCAGGGUGAGAGUCAGAGUUCCCUGGUGGCGCAUCCAGCGUUGUCACUGCUGUGGCUGGGGGCUGCUGCUGUGGCUCAGGUUAGAUCCCUGGCCAGGGAACUUCUCAUGCCAUGGGCGUGGCCAAAAUAAAGAGAACAGGGUGAGGAUGUAAGCAAAUGAUUUUCAUUUCAUUGUUUGGUUCUGUAAACUCAGACGGGGAGAGACCAAGGAAGUGACUACUUCUUAGGAUUUGUUGAGAUUUUUAUGAAAGUCUCGGUAAUGACCUGUGCUUCAGUAAAUACUAUUUUGUCCCUCAAGUUCAGUAAUUUUAGAUAUUUAAUAGAGGAUAGUGAAUGAAUUAGACAGUGAGAAUGUCUUCUUUUGGCUAUUUCUUGGUGAAUGGAUCAAAGAAACACUGACUGUUAAUAAAACACCAGGACCAAAUGAAAUGUUACCGUGUCCAGGACUCAAAAGUGACCAGACAGUAAGAGGCACACAGAGGUGAUGGGAACAAGUCCCUCAGGCUUCCCUGAUGCAACAGAACUAGGAUGCCAAAGAAAAUAUGUACAGAGACUUUCAUGGCAAAAAUAAACAAGAAGUGUUAUCCCAAGGAGCUUGCAAUGGUCUGACAGCUCCAUUUUAAGAGAAAGUCAGAAGUUAACGAUAAACAGGAAAAACAAGCCAGGCUUAAGCUGACUGGAGACGAGCUCAGUAGAAAAUUCCUUUAUAAAGAUUCUGUUCAAUUAGCUAAGGCAUGAUUCAACUUUAGUGAUGACAAGAGUGGUCACUCAGCUACCUGAUGGGACAACGCAGAGCAAGUUGCUUUCACUGCCCAAAUAGGCAGUUACUAAGCAAAUUUCUAACUUCUUACAAGGUAUAUAAAUGUGGGCCAGUGUAAUCCUCUACAAAAAUGCACUCGAAUAUAAAACAGUGGAGGUAUGAGGCCACUCUGAGGAUGGGGAUGCUAUGGCAGGUCACGGCAUCCUCUCCUACUUGGGGCUUGGCUCCCAGAGGAAUAGAAGGGGCAGCUGUAUCGCCCUUCGUUCGUAACGGAGAUGCCACCGUGACCGACUGUGAGGAGCCCUGUUCUCUGAGCUUCUGCUUCAGCAGAGGGGAGGCUUGGUGUGAGGCACCCACGCAAGGAAGGAACGAGCCUAAAGAAAACAUCGUGAAGAAGUUGACUCCUCAGAGUAGGCAAAGGACCUGAAGUCCUGGAAUCACAGGGUACCUCUGGUUGGCUAGGCAAGUCCCCUGCCCUCAAUCCCGGGCAAAUGGACAGAUCCCCUCACCACCCAGAACUCCUCACAGGGAGUGCUUGGGUAAGCUGGCAUCAUCCGUCCAUCUCAGAAGGGGCAGAUUCCUCCCAAGCAUCACAGGACCGACCGGUGGAAAUGGGACAUAAUCACUUCCCAACAUCUCCUGAAAUCAUCAGCUUCAACUCCAGAGAAGAGGUGGCCUCAAUGGCUCAGAGCAGAUGGAAGCCUUCUGAGAAACAGACGGAAACUGUUUCAAAGGCGAAAUGAAAUGUGCUUUAAAAAUAAAUAAAGUAAUAAAUAAAUCUAAUUAUUCAUCAAGAUUCUAAGGCAGUAACAGGCUUGACACAAGGACUAAGAAAGAAGGCAAUACAGACAACUGCAGUGGUCGCUUCUCUGCUUCCUCCUCUGCCAGAGACCCGGCCACCCUGCACUCUGGUGAUGCUGGCUGCAGCGCCCAAUGCAUGCCUGCCUGGUCCUCAGAGUUAACAGAGUGGAAAAGGCCACCACCAGGGACGAGUUGACUUCAGCCUGGUAAAGAACAAAUCCAUCCAGCAGUAACAAUGAAACUUCACUAUCUUUUCCCUAAGAGAUUUUGAACACCAAAAGCUUUAAGCCCUCAAUGUUAGAAAGCGAAAUCCAAAAAUUUUGGAAAUGCAACAGGUUCCAAAGCAAAAUUUCUAAAUAAUGACCCUUUUCUAAAGGCCAAAAAAAAAAAACAGUGGUAGGGAAUCUGGAGUGUUUUGUUUUGUAACCUCCUCUCUCAGAUCAUAUCUCUCCUUCUUUGACCAUACCAAAAAAAAAAAAAAAAAAAAAAAAAAAAAUUUAGUAAUUCUUGACUUUCAAAGAUGUGGGUUCCGAGAUGAAUCCAGUACCUAAAUUUCCACCCUUUCCCCUUCGGCCACCAGUGUCUUUGGAAAGGGACACUAUUUCUUGAAAUAGGAAGUGACAGUGGCAGUUUUCUUCCUGGAUGUUCAACUACACUGACCAUCACUUUGGAUUGCAUGGAAGUUCUUGCUGAAAUGGCAAAGACAGGCUUCGGAAAGGGAGGAGAAGAGGGAAGGAGGCAGAGUCAGACCGUCAGGACCAAUAACACCCCUCCAAAGGCAGUGAGGGCUCCCGGCCUGGGCUUGAGACCAUGAAGAACCAGCAGGCGGGCAUAUGGCAGUGGUGAGCGGCUGGACAGAGCUUUCUCCAUCCAGGAGACUGGGCUCCUUCAUGGACACUGUGCUUUGCCCUCUUCCAGCCCUUGCAAAAAGUGAAGAGAGCGGGUGCCACUAAACCCAUCUGCAGGAAAGGCUCUGGGAGCAGAGAGAGCAGCAACUGGAAUAAUACACCUUGUACCAAAACAAACCUAGUUUCAACACCCAACUUCCUUCUAGGCUUUUGCCUGAUGGUUUCCUCCACCGGGAGAGUCUGCUGGAGUCGAAAGCAAGAAGAGCGUGAGUCGGGGACCACAGAACAGGGGCACUACACCACCAUCUGCAGAAGCCAAGAAGGGGGAAAGCUACGUGGGGGCGACUGUCAGGCAUGCCAGGCAGGGCAUGAGGGUCAGGAGCCUCCCGCUCAGCGUUUAGCUCUU
ensembl:lncRNA